rnacentral:rRNA from 1 species
CCUACGGGGGGCUGCAGUGAGGAAUAUUGGUCAAUGGCCGGAAGGCUGAACCAGCCAUGCCGCGUGAAGGUCAGUGCCCUAUGGGCGUUAAACUUCUUUUGUGCGGGAGCAAUAAUGGUCACGUGUGGCCAGACGAGAGUACCGUACGAAUAAGCAUCGGCUAACUCCGUGCCAGCAGCCGCGGUAAUACGGGGGAUGCAAGCGUUAUCCGGAUUUAUUGGGUUUAAAGGGUGCGCAGGCGGAUUUUUAAGUCAGCGGUCAAAUCGUGGGGCUCAACCCCAUCCAGCCGUUGAAACUGGGGAUCUAGAGUGUGCGAGAGGUAUGCGGAAUUCCUAGUGUAGCGGUGAAAUGCGUAGAUAUUAGGAGGAACACCAGUGGCGAAGGCGGCCUACUGGACGGUGACUGACGCUGAGGCUCGAAAGCGUGGGGAGCAAACAGGAUUAGAUACCCCUGUAGUC